CUCUGCGGCAGGACCAGUUUCCAUUGCUUCCGGACCGGAUGCAGGGCUGCGAUCCGGGCGGAGACCAGAGAACUGCGCCCGGCGGGGUGCACCUGUCAGUCCUUCUGAACGACGUUUACCAGGGGCAGGUCUAAGUAGGACUCUCGGGCCAAUUAAGAACCGGAUGACCCUGCCAGGUGCACUUUCUUCAAACACUGGGUGAGGAUAAGACAUCAGCCACACUGAAGGUUCAGAAGGGAUUUCAAGAUCACCUCAGCCAAGCUUUCUCGGUCUCUUGAUAACCCAAGUUGACCUAGAUAAACACCUCAUGGCCACUUUUAAUGAGUUUCA